GCGGAUGUGGCGGAAUUGGUAGACGCGCUAGAUUUAGGUUCUAGUGUCUUUGACGUGCUGGUUCGAUUCCAGUCAUCCGCA
rnacentral:tRNA from 1 species